CAGGAUGCUCAGUUAAAUGUGAAUUUCAUAUAAACAACGAAUACCUUUUUAGUAUGUCUCAUGCAAUAUUUGGGACAUACUUAUACUAAAAAUUACUCGUUAUUUAUAUGAAAAUCACAUCUAACGGGGCAUCCUGUA
rnacentral:miRNA from 1 species